UACGUAGGUGGCAAGCGUUAUCCGGAUUUACUGGGUGUAAAGGGCGUGUAGGCGGGAAAGCAAGUCAGAUGUGAAAACCACGGGCUCAACCUGUGGCCUGCAUUUGAAACUGUUUUUCUUGAGUACUGGAGAGGCAGACGGAAUUCCUCGUGUAGCGGUGGAAUGCGUAGAUAUGAGGAGGAACACCAGUGGCGAAGGCGGUCUGCUGGACAGCAACUGACGCUGAGGCGCGAAAGCGUGGGGAGCAAACAGG
rnacentral:rRNA from 1 species